rnacentral:siRNA from 1 species
UGCAACACACACUUCCUGAGCCCU